AUUGAACGCUGGCGGCAGGCUUAACACAUGCAAGUCGAGCGAGCGGCGGACGGGUGAGUAAUGUCUGGGACACUGCCUGAUGGUGGGGGAUAACUACUGGAAACGGUAGCUAAUACCGCAUACCAUCAGCUGGGCCCAGAUGGGUUUGGCUAGUAGGUGGGGUAAUGGCUCACCUAGGCGCCGAUCCCUAGCUGGUCUGAGAGGAUGACCAGCCACACUGGAACGGAGACACGGUCCAGACUCCUACGGGAGGCAGCAGUGGGGAAUAUUGCACAAUGGGCGCGAGCCUGAUGCAGCCAUGCCGCGUGUGUGAAGAAGGCCUUCGGGUUGUAAAGCACUUUCAGCGGGGAGGCGUUACUCGCAGAAGAAGCACCGGCUAACUCCGUGCCAGCAGCCGCGGUAAUUC
rnacentral:rRNA from 1 species